GACAGAGGGUGCAAACGUUGUUCGGAAUUACUGGGCGUAAUGCGCGUGUAGGCGGCCCUGCAAGUCGGAUGUGAAAUCCCACGGCUCAACCGUGGAAGUGCAUUCGAAACUGCAGGGCUAGAGUCCUGGAGAGGAAGGUGGAAUGCUUGGUGUAGAGGUGAAAUUCGUAGAUAUCAAGCGGAACACCGGUGGCGAAGGCGGCCUUCUGGACAGUGACUGACGCUGAGACGCGAAAGCGUGGGGAGCAAACAGG
rnacentral:rRNA from 1 species